rnacentral:tRNA from 1 species
GGGCCCGUGGUGUAACUGGCAGCACAUAAGCCCGUCAAGCUUUAGGGUGCGGGUUCGAAUCCCGUCGGGUCCA